UGCUUAGGGAGUGCGGUGGUGGUGAUUCUCAGCGGGGGUUAUGGUGUUUCUCGACGGGUUAGAUUUGUAACGCAGUACUCCUUGAUAUAGCGUGAGGAGUAACAGCUUUAAAGUAAAAAGAGAAAUUUCGGUGAGAUGUUAGGUGGAAAUGCUUCGCUCAGGGCGGUGAGGCCCUGGCACAGCUGCCCACAGAGCUGUGGUGCCCCAUCCCUGGAGGCACUCAGGGUGAGGCCCUAGGCAGCCCGAGCUGGGGGUGCAGCCUGCCCAUGGCAGGGGUUGGAGCUGAUGGGCUUUAAGCUCCCUCCCAACCCAAGCCAUUCUGUGAUUUUAUUUUUUUUUCUGAGAAGCAGGGCUGAAACCUGAGUCCAUCUUCCAUUCUUCAGAUACUGGCUCUAGGGAGGAAGCUUCCCCUCCUCAGGCCCUGAUUGCCACAACUGGCAGGAGACAGAGGGUAUGGAAACUUCACAAGGAAGGGCCAAAGCUUUUUGCUGGAAUAUUCUGAGCUAUGAACCGGCACUGAAGAAAGUACUUGUACAAUGCAGCAGUUCUUCUAUUCUUCAGGUUUUAACAAUUGCUCUACUUUUAUCUAUUUCUUUUAAUGUAAGAAUUUAAUCUUUCAGGAUUCAGAUUUUUCCCUGAUGUGUUUUGUCUUCACUUUUUUGUUACUGUUAGUUAUGUUGCAUUCUUGUUUGUUUGUUUGUUUUUCCUAUUAGACCAAUUUGAGACAGGCUGCAUAUGAAAUUAUUGUGUCUUUAAUAUGGAACAUAAUAGCAAAUGAAGGCCUCAAAAAACGAUGCUCCUAAGCAGUGGGACUUUGAAAAUAAUGAAGAGAAGUAAUUGAUACAGAAAGGCAAAUUUUUAAAUCAACUUACAUAUUCGUGGUCAAAUCAACAUUAAAAUAUCUGCAGACAGUGGAGCAGAGGUCGUUAUAGUGGAGGAUUAUAUGAAUAUGCAGUAAAAAAUACUGUUAGAAUCUAUAGCAAAUAUAUAUUUAUAUAUUCAAAAAUUAACAUGUUACCAUCUGUCUCUCAUGUGUCAUUAAGCCAGCAAAGUUAUGCUACCACUGUCACGUUUGCUGAAACCAGCAAAUCAGAAAUCAUUUCUGACUACAAUAUCUGAAAUAUUUUUGUUCAGGAUGCUAACUAGAUCAGAGCUAAAAUUCAUUCUCUACAUGUAGGUUAAAUAAAACCUAGUGUAAAGCUCCAGAAUAAAUUAUUCCAGAAACCUAGUUGGUUUGGUAUAGCUCUGAAGAUCCACCUCAUAAUGAACACUGAAGUGAGUCAAAACUGACAGAUAUUGGUGUUAUGGAAUGAGCAUUUUAUUCUCAAUUCCUGUUGUGAACCAGAGUUAUGUAAGGUAACUUGCAAAGCUAUGUUUUGAGAAUAUUUUCUUCAGAUGAUAGAUACAAAGGUCAAGUGGGAAGCUUUCUGGAUAGAAAAUGACAGGCAAGAGCAAAGCAAUUAUCAUCUACCUCAUAUAGAGAAAAGAUUCGGAGCUUAACGAGAAGACUCUGAGCUUAACAAGGUUUAUUGCAAAAGUUAAGAACUGUGUUAUUUAAGGAAGCUGAGUGAAUUGAAAUAUGAGAUAAUUUCUUCAUGAAUUAAGAAUGAGUUUUUGUAUAUUUUUAAGCACCUCUUUCUGACCUACCUGAGUAAUAUGCUGCUGAUAAAGAACCGUCUUAUUGGAAGGGACACCAUCUGAUCAUCUUGUCUGUCAUGGCAAAUUCCUGGCUGUAAAUUUCUGGCACCCUCAUCCAGGGAGGUUUGUAUCAGUAAUUCUUUUGUACUGCAUUCAUAACAAAUCCUGUAGGUGUACAAAUGGCAACGUACUCCAAGUAGUGCCUGUGACACAAAUUACACAAUGAAUCAGGGCAUUAGCCUUACCUGCACUGACAGUACAGCUAAGUGAAAGGAAACAGAGGAGCCAUGGAGCCACCUUUCCUCAUUCCAGGCAGCUGUUCUCAUUUUCUCUGAAUGAAGUAAUCCCUUCACAGCAGUUUUCCAAUCUAUAUCAAGAUCCUAUCCUGGAACCUCAUCUGCACUUUUACCGUAAAGUCAACACCAUGAUGGGAGAAAAUGCAUCUUGAAAAGUCUGAAUUCAAGUACAUGUGUAUAGUUAGUGCAUGUUGUACCCCAGUAAGUGUGACUUAGUGGAUGUUACUUAUGUCACAGCAUUAUAUGCACAUGAGAUCCAGCAUACCUAUGGUUUUGAUUUGAGGAUUUAUAGGGAUCAUCAGAAAUGCCUUUCAAGGAAUUAGAUUGUUUCUUGGUUUGUUUGUUUGGGCUUUUUGCUUUUGCUUUGCAAAACCUCGUUCACCAUAUGCUCUCAAAGUGGGAAAUAAGUGGCUGUCAGAGAAUAAUGCUUUCAUAGCUGACUAGUCCUAGAGUUACUAAGGGACUACAGGUGCCCCCAGUUUGUCCUCAGAGAAUAAUACAUGUCAAGAUUGAUGCACUGUACUCAACAGAGGCCUGAUGGAUGAUAAGGACAGUGUUUUUAACAACAGAGUGGAAAAUAUUUCAAAUAUAUCAAAUAUAUCUGACAUCAAAGUAAUGAAGCCUAAUGCUUAAUUUCACAGACAAAAUUAAGUUCUCCCCAGUAUGUUGCUACUCAUGGAGUAUUAUUUCCAUUAUUUUAGUAACAACUAAUGUCUUUGUUAAAGUACAUGAAAUCCUUUUCUAACUGCAUGGGUACCAAGAGAAAACUGAAACUAGACUGAUUUGUGCCUUCAGAAGAUAGAUCUGUUAAAACCAGUGCAAGUUUAUGAAUAGUAAGUAGCUUGGAGAUACUUCUGCAAGAAACAAUAGAUUUACUUGGAAAAAAUGUUAUUAAAUUUUUCAAAAAUGCACGUGUAUAUCGUGGUGAUUACAUUAAGAAGAGUUUAAAGGCACUUUUUGAAAAGUAAGCAAAAUGGGUGCAGACACAAAGUGAUCUAAAACAGGGAUCUUGAAGUUUCUGUCCAAUAGAGAAAGGAUGAGUGAAUCUGAGACUAGAUUUAGUGAUAACUGAUUUGCUGUCUGGAGUGUCCCUUGUCUGUAUUUCAUGAUUUUCUUUUGUAGUGUUUCAAGAAAAAGGUCCAGUGUAUGUUCUCUUUGUUCUCUUUUCAUGCUAAUGCUGAGAGCCUCUGAGAGUUCAAAUUGCCAUACAGCAGAUGUACGGUGAGGAACUGGAGCUACAUUUGCACAAACAACUGUAGAUCUAGCACUCACUGAGACCUGCUGUGGGUAUACACAACUCCACUAUUCUCCUUCAGAUGUCUCCUCUCCGUAGAUAAGGCUUUUUAAAAUUGUAUUCACUGUGGAUGCUGAGGAAUGAGCCAAAGUGGUUAGUGUCACUUGUUUUCCUGAAAUGGUUUCUCCUGUUGCUAUUGUCAAAGGUAGACUAGUCAGACACUUAGGCCUAUAGGCUGACCAGCUAAGUAAGAUGCCUCUAAUGUUUUUAAUUUCAGCUCCAAUCCUCUUUCAUAGCUGCUGAAUCCACCUGUAUUGUGCACUCAGUAUUGAUUCUCAGACACGUCGUCUGUUGUUAUUUUCUAAGCAGCUUGCUGUUUACUUGGCUAGCCUUCUGAAUGAUAUAGCUACGCAUUCUUAUCUGGAAGUGCCUGACACAGAAAAGGAAAAAAAAGUGUUAUCUGAUUUGUUGCAAAAUUCUGGAGAGAAGCUCCCAUACUUGGUUGUCUUCAUCAACAUAUGGCCUCUAACAUUUUUAGUAUAUCUCUUUGUCCUACUUACAAUAAUUCUACUAAGCAAAUGGCCUCCAUAUGAUAUGAAUGCUAUAGCCCUUUCUAAAAUUACAUUUCUUAUAUAAUUACAGCAUAUGUUAUAAUACGAGAAUGUGAUUGAUUUUCUUCUGUUGUCACCGGUCCUGCCUAUUUUCUGGACUUAUUUCCAAAAUCAAAACGUAUUGAAAGCAAGAAAAAAAAGGUCAUUUCAAUCAGUGAUGGUGUUCUCAUCAGGAAAUGCAAAUGAGAUUUUUAAAAGCUCAGUGGGAGAACAGCACAUCAAUAAAUGGAGAAUUUAGCAUGUAGGAGAAGUCAGUCAUCUGCAGAGUUUGUUACUUCAUCAGUUUGAACUGACAAAAUUCUGGUUGGCUGGA